CGCACCUCUUAGCAUGUUCCCUUCCGUCCAGCCGGCUCUAAUAGCAUCUAAAGGAGCCGCCGCCGACAUGUGAAAGAGGGAUGCGGCGAGAGAGGAAUCCGGCCUCAGCUUGGGGGACACGACGCACGAGACAGCACCCGCUAAGCGAGGGAAAUGACCGAAAAUGCACAUGCACGUGCCCGCGUAUGUCGAUGUGUUCCUCUGCGCACGCAGCCCUUCCAUGCUUCAGCCGUGCCGGCUAAUCCAAGCCCAUUCAUUCAAUCGGAUUGGGGGGACAUGAAACAAGAUAUUUAGACACAUAAGGUUCCUUACCGAUGUGAAUGAUGGAGUCCCCUCGAACUGAAUUGCAGUGCAAAAUCCAAAAGGAAAGGCAUACAAUUAGG